UUAAAUUGAAGAGUUUGAUCAUGGCUCAGAUUGAACGCUGGCGGCAGGCCUAACACAUGCAAGUCGAACGGUAACAGGAAACAGCUUGCUGUUUCGCUGACGAGUGGCGGACGGGUGAGUAAUGUCUGGGAAACUGCCU
rnacentral:rRNA from 2 species